UAUAAUUUUUUUGCACGCCAUGAUCAGCACAACCUUCUUCUGUACACCCCGAGUCUGUGAUCAGCCUUGAUUAUUCGGCAGUAGGAGGAAUAUCAUCACGCUUUGGGUGAACUCCAGCUCCCUAUGGCACAGUCAGGAAAUUUUCCCUAGGCAGAGAGCUCACGUGAUUGUACGGUAUAAACUACUAAGGAUGUGUCUGUUCAGAAAUAAGGAUGAAGCAGUGGGCUUUUCUCUAUUUAAUACGUAAGUAAUUGCUAUUUGAUAUAAUGUUCAAAUAGGUCCUUGGUACAUACUCCCCUUAUUCCAAGAAAGUAGCCUAUCAUCAGUUUUUCCCCUAAAUGAAGAAGGUUACUAAAUAAUAAAAAUACAAUUUUUGCCUCUAUAAUUAAUCCUUUUCUCUUAAUCCUAGAGACCAUAAAAACCAAAGAAAAACUGUUUCUUAAAGUCACAUAUUACUCUGUCAUCUUCUUAAAAACUUCAAUCAAUGUCUUUCUAAAAUCUCCCUGUAAUUAAGGUGUGGAAUAUCCUACUUUUUAUUCAUUCAUUCAUACACAGAUAUUUCCCUAAGAAUUCUCAUUUCUCCACUUCAGUCUUGGCUUUGCAAGCAAGCCUGCUAUUUAUUUCUGGUACUGAUCAAUGUCUCUCAGCUUAAUCCUCAAAUGAUUAUAUUCAAACACCCAAAAAAAACACAAAUGUAGCAGCCUAACGAUUUAACUCAAAUUCUAAAUCACUAGUUAUUCAUGUUAAUGGUUAUAAUGAGUUUUUAAAGCAUAUAUUAUCAUUAUUUAACAUGCCAGGAAAGGAGUUUAGUGUUUCUUUUCCUCACUAAAUUUCAAUAAUAGCUGGGCUUAAAAUUACACCAAACCCUUCUGGUUGACCUGUGGGUGUCACAGGGCAGCUAUCCUCUCUUCACACCUUUCACCUCCUUUCUUCUUCAAUGUUCUCUUCUAUUUUGUUUAAAACAGAGGCUCAAGUAAAGUAUAUCUUUUCCACUUUUUUCAUAUCUUAUCCACAUAUUUAGAUAGGUCUACUUGGCAACAUAAUAAACAUGAUGACCAUUUUCUGAGAGGAGAGCUUAUGACACCACGGGUAUUCUCCCUGCCUUCUUUACACACACACACACACACCCCACUACCACUACCACACAGGCAUCCAGGCACUGUUACUGCUCCCUGGUCUCACGCCCUUGUGGAACUGCCCAAGCUGUUUAUGCUGGGAACACUGGGGGUAUCUGUGGGUUUACUCUGCAGCAAGUCAGUUCAUUCGGACAGUGAAAGACUAGAAGUCAGGGUUUCCUAAUUGGCUUUGUGCUUCUCCCCAAAAGAAUGCAAAUGUCAGCACCAUCACCAGGCUCUGCACUCUCUCCACUACUCUCUCCCACUUACCCUGUCUGAUCCAGGUCCCAGCCAAACCAAGUCAUCAGAAUGGAGUAGAAGAGUCACAAGCACUGGAGGGUGGGCUCAGACCCGUGGUGGAGGGGCAUGUGCAGAGGACACCAGUCAUGAUUCCAAAAGGACCCCAUGCCCUAAUAUCACUGCCCCUUCUCCCUCUCCUGUUUCCAGUCAGGGUCCUCAUAUGCUGGUCUGGUAGAGCUAAACUUCUGAUAUUCUUUAAACGCUCUUACUUAAGCCUUCUUUGUCCUGGCAUCUACCCCAUCCACUGUUUCAGGAAUCUCUCACUUCCUUCCCAAAAGAAAGCCCAAAAUACGCUAUUGAUGUCCACACUGCAGAUCCACUCCAACUCAUAUCCUCUCCUAAAUUGUUGGUCUGCAGGGCAGUAACUAUACUUGUGACUAUGGAAAGAAUCUUCUUGCCAAGUGUGUCAUCAUCUUCCAGUUGUAGGUUAGAGCAGUGAAAGGCUAUUUGGUAUAUGAGUGUUUGUGCAAGUCAUGUAGCUGUGGUACCUUUUAUCUCAGUCACCUGGCCACAUUGGUGUCCUCUUCUGUCUGACUCUAGCCCAACAUUUGAAGUAAGUCAAAAGGCUAGUCUUCCUAAUAUCAAUCCCUCUAUUGAAGUCUACCUAGAUUAAUGGGAAACAUGCAAGUGUUGGCCACAGCAGGCUUUCCUUUUGACUUCAGUCAUCUUCUAAAACAUAAUCCCUAGUCAAACAAUGUAACUGAAAUUUCUGCUCCUCCAGAAUUAGCUGCUCUACCUGCCUGCCUGCCUAACCACCAAUGACUCCAUGGCAAGUUCUCUCCAUCAAUGUCAGAAGGUCUUCGGAUAUUCUUUUGGCUACUUCCAAUGUCAUUCCAAGAAGCACUCUUUCAGCACCAUAAUACAGGCCAGAUUUGAUAUUCAACAGCACAAAGACGUCUCUUUCCUUCUUGCCAACUCGAAGCAUGUCUACAUCUGCAAAGGACAAGAAUAGUCAGUAACUGCCAAGAUUAAAUGAAUCAGUCCCCAAAAACUAUAGUGAAAAUUAUGUAGGCAAUAAUAGGCCAAGAACACCCAGUACAAACCACUCGUCACUUGAAGUAUAAAUUUCAUGACCUCUGUGUUAUAAAAGAAACAAACAAAUAAGAAGAGACCUUAGCCCCAAAGAAAUUAGUUUGGAAUUUAGAAAGAAAGUGAUAAACAAGUUUAAGGAUUUUAACAAAAAUUGGCAUUUUUAUCCAAAGCAUAAUCUUGCAUUUCAUCAAACUUCUCCUUAGAAGAUCAUAAAAUGUUCCAUUAUGAAUGUAGCGGAAACUUGAUGAACUAUUGGUUUUGGCU